rnacentral:rRNA from 1 species
UGGAAGUAAAAGUCGUAACAAGGUCUCCGUUGGUGAACCAGCGGAGGGAUCAUUACCGAGUUUACAACUCCCAAACCCCAAUGUGAACGUUACCAAACUGUUGCCUCGGCGGGAUUUCUGCCCCGGGCGCGUCGCAGCCCCGGACCAAGGCGCCCGCCGGAGGACCAAUUUACAAACUCUUUUGUAUAUCCCAUCGCGGAUUCUUUACAUUCUGAGCUUUCUCGGCGCUCCUAGCGAGCGUUUCGAAAAUGAAUCAAAACUUUCAACAACGGAUCUCUUGGUUCUGGCAUCGAUGAAGAACGCAGCGAAAUGCGAUAAGUAAUGUGAAUUGCAGAAUUCAGUGAAUCAUCGAAUCUUUGAACGCACAUUGCGCCCGCCAGUAUUCUGGCGGGCAUGCCUGUCCGAGCGUCAUUUCAACCCUCGAACCCCUCCGGGGGGUCGGCGUUGGGGAUCGGCACUUACCUGCCGGCCCCGAAAUACAGUGGCGGUCUCGCCGCAGCCUCUCCUGCGCAGUAGUUUGCACACUCGCACCGGGAGCGCGGCGCGUCCACGGCCGUAAAACAACCCAAACUUCUGAAAUGUUGACCUCGGAUCAGGUAGGAAUACCCGCUGAACUUAAGCAUAUCAAUAAGCGGAGGA